rnacentral:tRNA from 1 species
AAGAAGUUAGUUAAAAAAUAACAUUAGUAUGUCAAGCUGAAAUUAUUAAAUAUAAUACAUCUUU